CAAGGGAAGGGAGCGGAAAGGAGGGGUGCUUGAUGGGGUUAGACAUGGGGGGGAGGGGAGGGGGAGCCCUCUGCACCCCCAGCUCCCCUGCCCAUGGUGGCACUGAGAUGGCAGCAGUGGGUGCCCCUCAGAUGCAAGUCCCUCCUCCUGCCCUCCCCUCUUCACCCCCAGUUUGGGCUGGAUUUGCUUUUAUUUUUGUACUAAGAGAUAUUUAUUUUUCCAUGCCUCUGCAGGGCAGGAGUGGGUGGAGGGGUCUCUGCACCCCACUGCCUGCCCUGCAGUAUCCCCAUGUCACCUGUCCCUCUGGUACCCAAGACUUGGGGACUGGUGGCAGAUGCCAGGGACCCACUGGCUCCAUGACACUCAGACACCCCCAUUUCUCCCUCUCCAAAACAGAUCCCUCUCACCCCAGGCAGGGGUUGGUCAGGGCCAGUACCCCAGAGUGGAGCGAGGGGCACAGGGAUGCACUGUCCUCCCUGUGGGGAAGGUGGGACCUGCUGGCAGGGUGCUGGCACUGCCACCACCUGUACAGGUGGCAGCAUGGGGGCUCCUGACACCCUGCCCUGUCCCCAGGCAUGCACUCAUGAACAGUGAUUAAAGCCCGUGACACAGUUGGCACUUCCAGAAGAUGCUCAUCAGGGGCACUGUGUAAAAUGAUUAAAAACUUAAAAAUA